rnacentral:rRNA from 1 species
UAACGGCGAGUGAAGCGGCAACAGCUCAGAUUUGAAAUCUGGCCCCGGCCCCCGCGCCGGGGUCCGAGUUGUAAUCUGCAGAGGAUGCUUCCAGGCCCGGCGCCUUCCGAGUUCCCUGGAACGGGACGCCACAGAGGGUGAGAGCCCCGUCCGGUCGGACGCCGAGGCCGCCGUGAAGCUCCUUCGACGAGUCGAGUAGUUUGGGAAUGCUGCUCAAAACGGGAGGUAUAUGUCUUCUAAAGCUAAAUACCGGCCGGAGACCGAUAGCGCACAAGUAGAGUGAUCGAAAGAUGAAAAGCACUUUGAAAAGAGGGUUAAACAGUACGUGAAAUUGCUGAGAGGGAAGCGCUCGCGGCCAGACUCGGGCCCGGCGGAUCAUCCGGCGUUCCUCGCCGGSGCGCUCCGCCGGCCGCCCGGGCCAGCAUCGGCUCGCGGCGGGGGACAAAGGCGGCGGGAACGUGGCCCCCCCGGGGGUGUUAUAGCCCGCCGCGCAAUGCCCCGCGACGCGGGCCGAGGACCGCGCCCCCCCUCCCGGGGUGGCAAGGAUGCUGGCGUAAUGGCCGCCAGCGACCCGUCUUGAAACACGGACCAAGGAGUCGUCUUCGUACGCGAGUGUUCGGGUGCCAAACCCCUACGCGCAAUGAAAGUGAACGCUGGUGGGAGCCCCCCCGCCCCGGCGGGGGUUGGCGCACCACCGACCGAUCCUGAUGUUCCUCGGAUGGAUUUGAGUAGGAGCGUACGGGGCCGGACCCGAAAGAAGGUGAACUAUGCCUGUGUAGGGUGAAGCCAGAGGAAACUCUGGUGGAGGCUCGCAGCGGUUCUGACGUGCAAAUCGAUCGUCAAACAUGGGCAUGGGGGCGAAAGACUAAUCGAACCUUCUAGUAGCUGGUUCCCGCCGAAGUUUCCCUCAGGAUAGCAGUGCCGACCUCAGUUUUAUGAGGUAAAGCGAAUGAUUAGGGACCCGGGGGCGCUCUUCAGCCUUCAUCCAUUCUCAAACUUUAAAUAUGUAAGAAGCCCUUGUUGCUUCGUUGAACGUGGGCAUUCGAAUGCAGCGGCACUAGUGGGCCAUUUUUGGUAAGCAGAACUGGCGAUGCGGGAUGAACCGAACGCGGGGUUAAGGUGCCGGAGUGGACGCUCAUCAGACACCACAAAAGGCGUUAGUACAUCUUGACAGCAGGACGGUGGCCAUGGAAGUCGGAACCCGCUAAGGACUGUGUAACAACUCACCUGCCGAAUGUACUAGCCCUGAAAAUGGAUGGCGCUCAAGCGUCCCACCCAUACCUCGCCCCCGGGGUAGGAUCGACGCCCCGGGGAGUAGGCGGGCGCGGGGGUCCGUGACGAAG